rnacentral:rRNA from 1 species
CCUACGGGAGGCAGCAGUGAGGAAUAUUGGUCAAUGGACGAGAGUCUGAACCAGCCAAGUAGCGUGAAGGAUGACUGCCCUAUGGGUUGUAAACUUCUUUUAUAUGGGAAUAAAACGUUGCAUGUGUAGGAUUUUGUAUGUACCUUAUGAUUAAGGAUCGUCUAACUCCGUGCUAGCAGCCGCGGUAAUACGGAGGAUCCGAGCGUUAUCCGGAUUUAUUGGGUUUAAAGGGAGCGCAGGUGGGUUGUUAAGUCAGUUGUGAAAGUUUGCGGCUCAACCGUAAAAUUGCAGUUGAUACUGGCAGUAUUGAGUACAGUAGAGGUAGGCGGAAUUCGUGGUGUAGCGGUGAAAUGCUUAGAUAUCACGAAGAACUCCGAUUGCGAAGGCAGUUCACUGGACUGCAACUGACGCUGAGGCUCGAAAGUGUGGGUAUCAAACAGGAUUAGAUACCCGAGUAGUC